UGGGGUUGGUAUGGGGUUAUGAUGGGGUUGGUAUGGGGUUAUGGGGCUGGGACUGCUGGCGGCCCUUCUGCUGCUGCUCUGCGCCGCCCUCACAGCGCUGCUGCUCAGGAGGAGGGCGAGGUGUGGGGUUAUGGGGGCUGUGGGGUUAUGGGGUGGGGGGUUAUGGGGUUGGUAUGGGGUCUAUGGGGUUGGUAUGGGGUUAUGAUGGGGUUAUAAUGGGGUUAUGGGGCUGGGACUGCUGGCGGCCCUUCUGCUGCUGCUCUGUGCUGCUCUCACAGCGCUGCUGCUCAGGAGGAGGGCGAGGUGUGGGGUUAUGGGGUCUGUGGGGUUAUGGGGUGGGGGGUUAUGGGGUUGGUAUGGGGUUGGUAUGGGGUUGGUAUGGGGUUAUUAUGGGGUUAUGAUGGGGUUAUGAUGGGGUUAUGGGGUCUGUGGGGUUAUGGGGUGGGGGGUUAUGGGGUUGGUAUGGGGUUAUGGGGUUGAUAUGGGGUUGGUAUGGGGUUAUGGGGUUGGUAUGGGGUUGGUAUGGGGUUAUGGGGUUAUGGAUUAUCGGGUUACAGGGUUGCUUAUGGGGUUAUAGGGUUAUGGGUUAUGGGUUAUGGGAUUGGUUAUGGGGUUAUAGGGUUAUGGGUUAUGGGUUAUGGGGUUAUGGGUUAUGGGGUUGGCUAUGGGGUUAUGGGUUAUGGGGUUAUGGGGUUAUGCGUUAUGGGAUUGGUUAUGGGGUUAUAGGGUUAUGGGUUAUGGGUUAUGGGGUUAUGGGUUAUGGGGUUGGCUAUGGGGUUAUGGGUUAUGGGGUUAUGGGGUUAUGCGUUAUGGGAUUGGUUAUGGGGUUAUAGGGUUAUGGGGUUACAGGGUUAUGGGGUUAUGGGUUAUGGGGUUAUGGGUUAUGGGGUUAUGGAGUUGGUUAUGGGGUUAUGCGUUAUGGGAUUGGUUAUGGGGUUAUAGGGUUAUGGGGUUAUGGGUUAUGGGGUUAUGGGUUAUGGGGUUAUGGAGUUGGUUAUGGGGUUAUGGGUUAUGGGAUUGGUUAUGGGGUUAUAGGGUUAUGGGGUUAUGGGGUUAUGGGUUAUGGGGUUAUGGGUGAUGGGUUACGGGUUAUGGGGUGAGCGCAGCGAUCCGUGGGGUCGGCAGUGGCCCCGCAGUGGACUGACGGCUUUGGGGUCCCCCAUAACCGCCCCACAGAUCCGCAGCGCCCCCCUCCGACGGCGCCCAUUGGUACGAGUUGGACUCCGCCGCGUGGCCCUCCCCCGACGGCUUCGCGUACCGCAACAGCGCCGCAGGCUGCUCCCUGCGCAGUUUCACGCCCUCAUUGGACGCAGUGAAUACCUCCGUCCCGAUGCAGAUCGCCCGACCCACCGUACACACGCGCUUCUGAGCCCCCCCUAUGGGGGAACCGCAGCCGGACCCACAACUUCGUCUGCCCCACAUCUGCCCCACAACUGCCCCACAACUGCCUGUCUGCCUCACUUCUGCCCCACAUCUGCCCCACAUCUGCCUGUCUGCCUCACUUCUGCCCCACAUCUGCCCCAUAACUGCCUGUCUGCCCCACAACUGCCUGUCUGCCCCACAUCUGCCCCACAACUGCCUGUCUGCCUCACUUCUGCAACAUAACUGCCCCACAUCUGCCCCAUAGCUGCCUGUCUGCCUCACAUCUGCCCCAUAACUGCCUGUCUGCCUCACUUCUGCCCCACAGCUGCCCCACAACCACCUGUCUGCCUCACUUCUGCCCCACAUCUGCCCCAUAGCUGCCUAUCUGCCCCACAUCUGCCCCACAUCUGCCCCACAUCUGCCUGCCUACCUCACAUCUGCCCCACAUCUGCCUCACAUCUGCCCCACACCUGCCUGCCUACCCCACAUCUGCCCCACAUCUGCCUCACAUCUGCCCCACACCUGCCUGUCUACCUCACAUCUGCCCCACAUCUGCCCCACAACUGCCUGUCUGCCUCACAUCUGCCCCACGUCUGCCUGUCUACCUCACAUCUGCCCCACAUCUGCCCCACACCUGCCUGUCUACCUCACAUCUGCCCCACAACUGCCCCACAUCUGCCCCACAACUGCCCCAAAUCCGCCCCACAUCUGCCUCACAUCCGCCCCACAUCCGCACGCAGGCCGUGCCCCUCCCCCCUUAUUUAUUAUUUAUUAAUGCAAUAAAUUAACGAACGGC
ensembl:lncRNA